AUUGAACGCUGGCGGCAUGCCUUACACAUGCAAGUCGAACGGCAGCGCGGGGCAACCUGGCGGCGAGUGGCGAACGGGUGAGUAAUAUAUCGGAACGUACCCUGGAGUGGGGGAUAACGUAGCGAAAGUUACGCUAAUACCGCAUACGAUCUAAGGAUGAAAGCAGGGGACCGCAAGGCCUUGUGCUCCUGGAGCGGCCGAUAUCUGAUUAGCUAGUUGGUGGGGUAAAGGCCUACCAAGGCAUCGAUCAGUAGCUGGUCUGAGAGGACGACCAAGCCACACUGGAACUGAGACACGGUCCAGACUCCUACGGGAGGCAGCAGUGGGGAAUUUUGGACAAUGGGCGAAAGCCUGAUCCAGCAAUGCCGCGUGAGUGAAGAAGGCCUU
rnacentral:rRNA from 1 species